UAGUUAUUAUAGCGAAGAGGAUACACCUGUUCCCAUGCCGAACACAGAAGUUAAGCUCUUUAGCGCCGAUGGUACUUGGUGGGAAGCUGCCUGGGAGAGUAGGACAUAGCUAGGUU
rnacentral:rRNA from 1 species